CGGACGGGUGAGGAAUACAUCGGAAUCUACUCUGUCGUGGGGGAUAACGUAGGGAAACUUACGCUAAUACCGCAUACGACCUACGGGUGAAAGCAGGGGACCUUCGGGCCUUGCGCUAUCAGAUGAGCCUAGGUCGGAUUAGCUAGUUGGUGAGGUAAUGGCUCACCAAGGCGACGAUCCGUAACUGGUCUGAGAGGAUGAUCAGUCACACUGGAACUGAGACACGGUCCAGACUCCUACGGGAGGCAGCAGUC
rnacentral:rRNA from 1 species